GGCCCCAUCGUCUAGCGGUUAGGACGCCGGCCUCUCACGCCGGAAACAGGGGUUCGAUUCCCCUUGGGGCUACCA
rnacentral:tRNA from 1 species